AAACCCACACCUAAUUUGCAUUCGAUGACGUCCAGACACCGACUCGACCACAAAGGAAUGAAGCUCUCCGAAAUAAAAAUAAAAAUAAAAGCAAAAAAAGGAGAGGGAGAAGGAGAACGUGAAAAGGAAAAGAGUAGUAAAAACUAGAAAAUAAAAAUAAUAAAAUAACACUAAAUAAAGGAAGUAAUUAUCCAAAAUUUUAAAACCAAACAAAAAUAAUCCCUCAAAACACUCUUAAUGACUUGAACCUAAGACCUCAAGCUAAAUUAACACAUAACUAACCACCAAACCAGCAAGCCCAUUCUUAUAUUAAAAC
rnacentral:lncRNA from 1 species